rnacentral:rRNA from 1 species
CAGCCGCCGCGGGAAUACGAGGGGGGCAAGCGUUGUUCGGAAUUAUUGGGCGUAAAGGGUGCGUAGGCGGUUCAGCAAGUCUCGUGUGAAAUCUUCGGGCUCAACCCGAAGUCUGCACGGGAAACUACUGGGCUUGAGUAAUGGGGAGGUGAGUGGAAUUUCCGGUGUAGCAGUGAAAUGCGUAGAGAUGUGGAGGAAUACCGAUGGCGAAGGCAGCCCCCUGGGCCAAUACUGACGCUCAUGCACGAAAGCUUGGGGAGCAAACAGGAUUAGAUACCCGCGUAGUCCCUGUCUCUUAUAC